AUAAAACAAGAUCAAUAUCUUUGAUUUAAAAUUUUAAUGUCAUAUUAUCACAUUUUGUAAGAUUUUUAUUUUCAGCCGUUGAUUUUAAGCCCCUUCGUUCACUAGGCAAAUGAUAUCGUAAAAUCAUAAAAUUUAUUUUCUAGAUACUUCAAAUACUCUAGAUCAAGUUUAACGGAGCCGAUCGACGAUUCGAAAAUCGCAACAUCGAAAAUGAGGUGGAAGCACGGAAGGCUCCGUGCUUCCGAUAGCAUAAUAGCCUCACUCUAUAUAUAUAUAUAUAUAUAUAUAUAUAUAUAUAUAUAUAUAUAAAAGUCUAAUUUUAAUUCAAUUAAAAUUAGACUCCUAUAUAUGAUCCAUAUAGACCAAAUUAACUUUAAAUUAUAUUUUUUUCUAAUUAAAAUAGAAUUUAUUCUUAAUUUAGAUAACUACAAAUCUAAAUCAAGUUUAAUAAUUAUAAUAAGGAUGUCAAUGGGUUGGAUUCAGAGUGGAUUUUCAAAAACCUGAACAUGAGCCCGACUCUAAAUCCGAAAUCCGAAUCCGAAUCUAACGAAUUUUAAAAAUUCAUAUCCAAACCCGAACCCGACCAAAAAUUCGAAGCCCAAACCCGAACCCGAACCCGAACCCAAAAAUUCGAGCCCGAAACAAUUAUUUCUCUUUUCAAUAUUUCAAAAUAUAUUACAUUAAAUCUAAUUUUUUAAAAUAUAAAUUCAAAUAUAAUAUCCAAAUUUUUAUAUACAUAUUAUAUAUAAUGUAAAAUAAAUUUGGAUUUGGGUCCGGUUCGGGUUCGGUUCGGAUACAAUCAAAAUCCAUAUUCGAAUCCAUAUCUGUUGGGUUUUUGUUUUUGAUAUUCAUAUUCAAAACUAUAUCCGUUUAGCAUCAAAUAAGUUCGCUCUGUUCAGAUUUAGGUUCGAAUAAAAUUUUAGUUAUCCG
rnacentral:lncRNA from 1 species